AGUUUGAUCCGUGGCUACAGAACGAACGCUGGCGGCAGGCCUCAAACAUGCAAGUCUAGGGGGUGUAGCAAUACAUCACCGGCGGACGGGUGCGUAACACGUGGGAAUAUACCUUUUGGUUCGGAACAACGCAGGGAAACUUGCGCUAAUACCGAAUGUGCCCUUACGGGGAAAGAUUUAUCGCCCAAGGAUGAGCCCGCGUAGGAUUAGCUAGUUGGUGAGGUAAAAGGCUCACCAAGGCGACGAUCCUUAGCUGGUCUGAGAGGAUGAUCAGCCACACUGGGACUGAGACACGGCCCAGACUCCUACGGGAGGCAGCAGUGGGGAAUAUUGGACAAUGGGCGAAAGCCUGAUCCAGCAAUGCCGCGUGAGUGAUGAAGGCCUUAGGGUUGUAAAGCUCUUUUACCCGGGAUGAUAAUGACAGUACCGGGAGAAUAAGCUCCGGCUAACUCCGUG
rnacentral:rRNA from 1 species